CUCUCCACUUCGGGAAGUGAGGCGUGCCAUUACGGCCGAGCUGAGAGGACCAGGGCAAUUAUUUGGCUAUCGGACCAUGUGGCAAGUUCUCAAACAAAAACACAACCUGUGUGUCAAACGUGAUGUUGUAAUGAGACUGCUGAGGCAGCUGAACCCUCAAGGCAUCGCUCUGAGGACUCGCAGGAGAUUUACAAGGCGCACCUAUCACUCUAUGGGGCCCAAUUACAUAUGGCAUGUAGACGGCUACGACAAACUGAAGCCAUUCGGCUUGGCCAUCUCAGGAUGCAUUGAUGGAUUUUCGAGAAGAAUGAUGUGGCUUGUUUGUGGGGCAACAAACAACAAUCCUUCUGUCAUUGCCCAGCAUUAUAUAAACUGUGUCAAGAGUCUUGGAGUGAUACCAAUGAGACUACGAACAGACCUCGGCACAGAGAACGGGACUGUGGCAGCAAUACAGUGUACCCUCCGCCAUGCGCACACGGAUUAUUAUGCUGGGUCAUCAAGCCACAGUUACGGAUCAUCCACAGGGAAUCAACGCAUCGAGUCAUGGUGGUCUUUUUUCAGAAGAGGAAGGUGGGUACAUAUCUGUGUUUUUCAGAUGUCAAGUACAGCGAAAGCUGAUCACGGUCUGAAAUCCGUGGAAGCAUACAGUCUGAGUUUAAAAAGGAUUUGUAAAGUAGGUCCAAACUCUUCGUGUGAAAAACAAGGUUCUGGUGACUUUAGUAACAUACAGUACACGUAAGCUCUAUGUUAGUUAAGCAAAUUUUGCAGGUUCUGCAGUAAGUACUACAAUACAUAUUUGUGAUAUUAAUUUUAGUAUUACACACAGGUGGGUAGAGUACUCAAAAAUCGUUAUGGAGUAAUAGACGUUACAUACUUUUACUGUUUAUAAAUAAAGGAUGAGGUGAAAGCUACUUCUAAGCUUGUGGUUUGUUUAUUGUUGUCAUGGCAACUCCAUAGGAAGUGCCUAUGGAGUUGGCAGUCACAUAGCUGUCGUUUUGCCAGUUAACAUGCCAUAUUGAAUUAGUUUCAAACAUUUAUUUUCAUAAGGCUUUAGCAAAUAUUUUGUUUCCAAAUUAGAAUUUUUCAUUGUUUGGUUACAGAUGCUAUACAAAUUUUUAGUUUGUACUUGGAAAAUUAGGAUGCGAUAUUCAGUUUGACAUAGAUUUAGAGCAUGCUUUCAAUGUUAUGGACAUGGAGAAAGACAGACAAUCUUUUAAUCAUUUUAAAAUGAAAAAGAACAGAACCGUUUCUAAUUCAAUGUAUCCUCAGGUCUCAGUUUUGGAUGGACUUGUUUGGAGAUUUAAGAGACUCCGGAAACUUCAACGGAAGCGUUGAGCACCAGUGCUUGCUCAGAUUCUGCUUCACCAGAGUUCUGCAGAAAGACCUGGAUGAAUGCAAAAAUCUCUGGAAUAACCACAGGAUCCGGCCAAGCAGACUUGCAUCAUGUCCUGGGGGGAUUCCAAACGAACUCUAUCUCUUGCCUCACAGAUAUGGUUCAAGAGAUUGUGGAUUUCCUGUUGAGGACAGUGAUCUGGAUGUUUUCCCAGAAGCAAGUCAGGUGACAGAUUUGUGUGGUGAUAAAGACAUCGAGGAAUACCUACAGCAAGUCAUGCAACAACAUGGACAACAGCAGUCACAAAACUGGGAGUCAGCUAUGGAACUGUAUUUAUUCCUCAAACACAUAGCAAGGCUGUAGACACAAACAACCUGAAUAAAUUUUUUUUUAUAUUUUGUGUCCUGUUCAUUUUACUCAAAUGAAAACUCAUUGUUAUGGUAAGAACAUAUAACAUAAAAUAU